rnacentral:rRNA from 1 species
GGGAAGGAGAAGUCGUAACAAGGUUUCCGUAGGUGAACCUGCGGAAGGAUCAUUGUCGAUGCCUAAACAUCAAACGACCCGCGAACGCGUUUACAAACAAAUUGUCCGUGCCGGUGGGCGGGGGGAGGCAUUAUGCCCUCUGCGUGCCCCCUCCCCCUCGGCGCGUCUAAACCAAACCCCGGCGCAGGUCGCGCCAAGGAACUUGAAAUGAAUUUGCCUGCCCCUUGCCCCGGCCUCGGCGUGCAGGGGGUGGAGCAUUCUUGUCGUAUUAUUCACAACGACUCUCGGCAACGGAUAUCUCGGCUCUCGCAUCGAUGAAGAACGUAGCGAAAUGCGAUACUUGGUGUGAAUUGCAGGAUCCCGCGAACCACCGAGUCUUUGAACGCAAGUUGCGCCCGGAGCCUUCUGGCCGAGGGCACGUCUGCCUGGGCGUCACGCAUCGCUGCCCCCCCCCACACAACACCCCAUGCGGGCUCGUUGCGUAGGCAGGGGCACACGCUGGCCUCCCGUGCGCACCGUCGUGCGGAUGGCUUAAAUUCGAGUCCUCGGCGCACGUCGUCGCGACACUACGGUGGUUGAUCCGACCUCGGUACCACGUCGCGAUCCUGACGUCGCCUCCUUGUGGACUCCUACACCGACCCUCUGAACGCUGUCCCCCCAAAGGAUGACGCUCUCGACGCGACCCCAGGUCAGGCGGGACCACCCGCUGAGUUUAAGCAUAUC